rnacentral:misc_RNA from 1 species
CCUUGUGGAGGAGGACGCCGAAGGUGGGGCUAAUGACUGGGGUGAAGUCGUAACAAGGUAGCCGUACCGGAAGGUGCGGCUGGAUCACCUCCUAACAGGGAGACAACAAAAUGUUAAAUAUUAAUUUUGUCACCUUAGGUCGAUCGGUAUCUCACAUUCUUAUAUAUAUUAAGGAUUUUAUUUCCUAAGUUUUUUCUAGGUCACACCCAUUAUUUUUCCUGGGCCAUUAGCUCAGGUGGUUAGAGCGCACCCCUGAUAAGGGUGAGGUCCCUGGUUCAAGUCCAGGAUGGCCCAUAUCUCUAUGUUGGGGGUAUAGCUCAGUUGGUAGAGCGCCUGCUUUGCAAGCAGGAUGUCAGCGGUUCGAGUCCGCUUACCUCCACUGAUUACCACCUCUUCCAUAAUUUUUAGAAGGGAAUUUUUUAGGUGUGAUCAAAUUCUGAACGAAUCUAGCUUCCUAAUCAAACAGAUUAAGAUGCUGGACUCAUUGAAUUAAUUUCAUUGUUUUCAGAGAACCUUGACAACUGCAUAGAUUAUUUUUAAAGACAAUAAGCAUCUUUAUUGAUGCAGAUUUAUUAUUUGUGCGAAUGCAUUAAUAACAAUUCUAUUAAGCUGAUGCUUCAAAUUUUGAAGUUAUUGGUCAAGCUACAAAGGGCUCACGGAGGAUACCUAGGCACACAGAGGCGA